rnacentral:rRNA from 1 species
UUAGGAAUCUUGCGCAAUGGGGGCAACCCUGACGCAGCGACACAGUGUGGAGGAGGAAGGUCUUCGGAUUGUAAACUCCUUUUAUGAGGGAAGAAUAGAUGACGGUACCUCAUGAAUAAGCACCUGCUAACUACGUGCCAGAAGCAUCGGUGAUGCGUAGGGUGCGAACGUUAUCCGGAUUUAUUGGGCGUAUAGAGAAGCGUAGGUGUUUUUGUAAGUCUUUAGUUAAAUACCACGGCUCAACCGUGGAGAAGCUUUGGAAACUACAGAAAUUGAGACAGGAAUGGGCGAAUGGAAUUCCCAGUGGAGCGGUGAAAUGCGUUGAUAUUGGGAGGAACAUCAGUGGCGAAGGCGAUUCGCUGGUCCUUGUCUGACACUAAGGCUCGAAAGCGUGGGGAGCGAAAC